GAUGAACGAGGGUGGGGGGAAGAAUACAUGCAAGUCGAGCGAACAGACGAGGAGCUUGCUCCUCUGACGUUAGCGGCGGACGGGUGAGUAACACGUGGAUAAACUACCUAUAAGACUGGGAUAACUUCGGGAAACCGGAGCUAAUACCGGAUAAUAUAUUGAACCGCAUGGUUCAAUAGUGAAAGACGGUUUUGCUGUCACUUAUAGAUGGAUCCGCGCCGCAUUAGCUAGUUGGUAAGGUAACGGCUUACCAAGGCAACGAUGCGUAGCCGACCUGAGAGGGUGAUCGGCCACACUGGAACUGAGACACGGUCCAGACUCCUACGGGAGGCAGCAGUAGGGAAUCUUCCGCAAUGGGCGAAAGCCUGACGGAGCAACGCCGCGUGAGUGAUGAAGGUCUUCUGAUCGUAAAACUCUGUUAUUAGGGAAGAACAAAUGUGUAAGUAACUAUGCACGUCUUGACGGUACCUAAUCAGAAAGCCACGGCUAACUACGUG
rnacentral:rRNA from 1 species